rnacentral:rRNA from 1 species
CCCUCUGGGUUGUAAACUUCUUUUAUCUGGGACGAAAAANGGGUAUUCUUACUCNCUUGACGGUACCAGAGGAAUAAGCACCGGCUAACUCCGUGCCAGCAGCCGCGGUAAUACGGAGGGUGCAAGCGUUAUCCGGAUUNACUGGGUUUAAAGGGUGCGUAGGUGGGCUUGUAAGUCAGUGGUGAAAUCUCCGGGCUUAACNCGGAAACUGCCAUUGAUACUAUNNGUCUUGAAUUAUNUGGAGGUAAGCGGAAUAUGUCAUGUAGCGGUGAAAUGCUUAGAUAUGACAUAGAACACCAAUUGCGAAGGCAGCUUACUACNNAUAUAUUGACACUGAGGCACGAAAGCGUGGGGAUCAAACAGGAUUAGAUACCCUGGUAGUCCACGCCCUAAACGAUGGAUACUCGACAUCAGCGAUACACUGUUGGUGUCUGAGCGAAAGCAUUAAGUAUCCCACCUGGGAAGUACGAUCGCAAGAUUGAAACUCAAAGG